AUUGAACGCUGGCGGCAGGCCUAACACAUGCAAGUCGAACGAGAGGCGGACGGGUGAGUAAUGUCUGUGAAACUGCCUGAUGGAGGGGGCUACCUACUGGAAACGGUAGCUACUACCGCAUACCCUCGGAUUGGCCCAGAUGGGAUUAGCUAGUAGGUGGGGUAACGGCUCACCUAGUCGACGAUCCCUAGCUGGUCUGAGAGGAUGACAAGCCACACUGGAACUGAGACACGGUCCAGACGCCUACGGGAGGCAGCAGGGGGGAAUAUUGCAAAAUGGGCGCAAGCCUGAUGCAGCCAUGCCGCGUGUAUGAAGAAGGCCUUCGGGUUGUAAAGUACUUUCAGCGGGGAGGCGUUACCCGCAGAAGAAGCACCGGCUAACUCCGUGCCAGCAGCCGCGGUAAUAC
rnacentral:rRNA from 1 species